UGAGUACGAGAUGCUACGGCGUCGAAGCAGUCUAUGUCAUACUUCCAAGAAAAGCUUGCACUGUCAUAAACAAAUAAUGCCUGUACCAUAACCGACACAGGUGGGUAGGUAGAGUAUACUAAGGGGCGCGAGAUAACUCUCUCUAAGGAACUCGGCAAAAUGACUCCGUAACUUCGGGAGAAGGAGUGCCUUAUUUAUAAGGUUGCAAUAACAAGACCCAAGCAACUGUUUAUCAAAAACACAGGUCUCCGCUAAGUCGUAAGACGAUGUAUGGGGGCUGACGCCUGCCCAGUGCCAGAAGGUUAAAGAAGUUGGUUAGCUUUUGCGAAGCUGAUGACUGAAGCCCUGGUGAACGGCGGCCGUAACAAUAACGGUCCUAAGGUAGCGAAAUUCCUUGUCGGGUAAGUUCCGACCCGCACGAAAGGCGUAAUGAUUUGGGUACUGUCUCAGAGAGGGACUCGGUGAAAUAGACUUGUCUGUGAAGAUGCGGACUACCUGCACCUGGACAGAAAGACCCUAUGAAGCUUUACUGUAACUUGAAAUUGAAAUUGGACUUUAUUUGCGCAGUAUAGGUGGGAGGCUUUGAAGAUAUUCUUGCGGGAAUGUUGGAGCCAUCAGUGAGAUACCACUCUUGUAACGUUAGAUUUCUAACUUUGUAUCAUUAUCUGGUCAAAGAACAGUUUCAGGCGGGCAGUUUGACUGGGGCGGUCGCCUCCUAAACGGUAACGGAGGCGCACAAAGGUUUCCUCUGAACGGGUAGAAAUCGUAUCUAGAGUGUAAAGGCAUAAGGAAGCUUGACUGUGAGACCUACAAGUCGAGCAGGGACGAAAGUCGGUCUUAGUGAUCUGACGGUGCUGAGUGGAAAGGCCGUCACUCAACGGAUAAAAGUUACUCUAGGAUAACAGGCUGAUCUCCCCCAAGAGUUCACAUCGACGGGGAGGUUUGGCACCUCGAUGUCGGCUCAUCGCAUCCUGGGGCGGUAGUACGUCCCAAGGGUUGGGCUGUUCGCCCAAAAGCGGUACGCGAGCUGGGUUCAGAACGUCGUGAGACAGUUCGGUCCAUAUCCGGUGUAGGCGUUAGAAUAUUGAGAGGAGCCUUCUCUAGUACGAGAGGACCGAGAAGGACAUACCUCUGGUGUACCAGUUAUCGUGCCAACGGUAAACGCUGGGUAGCUAUGUGUGGAGUGGAUAACCGCUGAAAGCAUCUAAGUGGGAAGCCCACCUCAAGAUAAG
rnacentral:rRNA from 1 species